CACCUUUUCGUUUGUGGUGCCGUACACCUUUUCUGAAUCGAACAAACCUCUACACCACAACUGAGAGC
rnacentral:lncRNA from 1 species